rnacentral:rRNA from 1 species
UACGGGGGGGGCAAGCGUUGUUCGAAAUUACUGGGCGUAAAGGGCUCGUAGGCGGCCAACUAAGUCCGACGUGAAAUCCCAAGGCUUAACCUUGGAACUGCGUCGGAUACUGGAUGGCUUGAAUUCGGGAGAGGGAUGCAGAAUUCCAGGUGUAGCGGUGAAAUGCGUAGAUAUCUGGAGGAAUACCGGUGGCGAAGGCGGCAUCCUGGACCGACAUUGACGCUGAUGAGCGAAAGCUAGGGGAGCAAACGGG